rnacentral:lncRNA from 1 species
CUGGGUUCCUGCUGCCUUGGAAGCAGUCGGGAGGUCCCAGCAAGAAGUCACAGUGUAUUCUUCUCCAUUGCUCCCUUUGGAGUUCAUGUGUUCAGCCUUCUUUCUAAUGAUGGCAAUAAGCAGCUGUCAGCUUUAUCUGAUGAUGGUCUGGCAGUACCUCUCCUUACUCGCUGUAUGGAUGGGACAUGACGACAGUUCAUGAAGACUAUCAAACAAGUGCUGUUUUGGGAACAAUUAAUGCCUGAUUUAGUAAUAAAAUAAUAAUAAUCAAGUAAGCA